rnacentral:rRNA from 1 species
UACGUAGGGACCUAGCGUUGUCCGGAAUCAUUGGGCGUAAAGCGCGCGUAUGCGGCCCGGUAAGUCCGUUGUAAAAGUCGAAGGCUCAACCUUCGGAAGCCGAUGGAUACUGCCGGGCUAGAGUACGGAAGAGGCGAGUAGAAUUCCUGGUGUAGCGGUGGAAUGCGCAGAUAUCAGGAGGAAUACCCAUAGCGAAGGCAGCUCGCUGGGACGUUACUGACGCUGAGGCGCGAAAGCGUGGGGAGCAAACAGG